UGCGAGAAAGGGACUUCGGUCCUGAGUAGAGCGGCGCACGGGUGAGUAACGCGUGGGUAAUCUCCCUUGGUGAUCGGGAUAACAGCGGGAAACUGCUGCUAAUACCGGAUAAUCUUCAUGUUUAACUUCAUGGGGUAAAGGUGGCCUCUGCUUGCAAACUACCACAUCAAGAUGAGCCCGCGUCUCAUUAGCUAGUUGGUAGGGUAAUGGCCUACCAAGGCUACGAUGAGUAGCUGGUCUGAGAGGAUGACCAGCCACACUGGGACUGGAACACGGCCCAGACUCCUACGGGAGGCAGCAGUGGGGAAUAUUGCGCAAUGGGCGAAAGCCUGACGCAGCGACGCCUCGUGAGGGAUGAAGGUCUUCGGAUCGUAAACCUCUGUCAAGAGGGAAGAAACCCUUGGAUUCGAAUAGGGUCCUUGGCUGACGGUACC
rnacentral:rRNA from 1 species